rnacentral:lncRNA from 1 species
AAGAGAGCAAGCAAGGAUAGAAGAGGAAGAAAGAAGAGAGCAACAUAGGAGAGAAGAAGAAGAAAGAAGAGAGCAACAUAGGAAAGAAGAGGAAGAAAAAGAGAGAAUAAGAAGAGACAAAGAAAAGAGAGAGGAGGAAGAAAAGAGAGAGCAGGAAGAGAGACUACAAAAGAAAGAGAAGGAAGAAAUUGAAAGGAAGGAAAGGGAAGAAAAGAAAUUGUUGACAAUAUCUCCUACUCUAGAACCCAAAAGGGGAGGUUUUCUAUCCUUUAAUUUUCCUUCAAUUGAAAUUACAUGUUCCAAAUUCAUCUUUUCUUUCCAAAACAUUGCCAUCACAUCUUUUCCCAAGUUGCAAUUUUUAACAUAUGGCAAUCAAAAAGUUGAGUUAGAGUUACCUUCUUGGUUAUCACUAACUCAAGAUAAAAAUAAAUUCUCAAAUGAAGAAUGGUUUCUUUAUAAUCAUCAUAUUGAAAAUUUUAAAAUUAAGAAACCUUCUUCUAAAAAUACUCUUUUAUAUACUUUGGGUCAUAGAAAACUAAUUAGUGUUAUGUUUGAUGCUUAUUGCAGAUUUACUUUUGACCCAGGAGGAAGUUUGUAGAGAGGCAACUAAAAAUAAGUCCUCAGAAGAACCAUCCAGAUUUGAGGACAAAUCCUUUCCAAGAGGGAGGGGAUGAUACACGGGGCCCAAGGCCAAUGUCUUUAGUGUAGUAUUUCUUUUACUUGUAUUAGAGAUGUGUAUAAUGUGUUAGGCAUGGGGUACAUUUAACCCUAUAUAUAGGCUUGCUAACACAUCUUGUAAUUACUUUUGAGCUUAAUGAGAAUAAACUUUUCUAAUUCAGAAAAUUAUUCUCUCUUGAAAGUCAUUGGCUAGAGAGUCCAAAGACCUCUAGCCACCUUCCAAAGCACACUUCUUACUAUUCAUUUUCCAAAUAUUCCACAGUGCUUCUCUCUCAUCCACCGUGGCCACUCCUUCACUGCCACCUAGCACCUUGCCUGCGUCAGCAUUUCACUCUCUCCUCAGUACAUUUUCAUUUCGCGUUUCAGACCUACAUCACUCCUUCAUUUCUUCAGAUUCAUUCUCGCAUCUUCACUCUCGACAGAUAGAGAGCUCCUCACUGUGAUUCAUUCUUCACCAUCACAGAUCCACCAUUGUUGUCGUCUCUCACCGGUAAAACUCGUUCCUCUUCAUAGAUCCCUCCUUCUCCUCCAUUUUGCUAGGUUUUCUACCGAUUAAAAACCAUCAUUCAUCAUCUUCAUCCAUUUUUACCGAUUGAUUCGGUUUUUAGACCGAUUAAACAUCUUCCCAACCUUCGAUCUUCCAUCUCCACCGAUUAAAACACCAUUUCCACCGUUUAACCGGUCCAAAUCCCGUUUCCCCUCUUUUCUAGGGUUCCAUAGGUCAUCCUAGGGUUUUCAGAGUUCUUCAAGUCUCAUAUACAUUCCGCUGCGUGUUUUUCUACCGGAGAAGCUUCGAGGAGGUCGAAUCAUGUUCGCACAGCUCCAAUCAGGCGUUCUCCUCAAGGCGUCUCGUAUCACACUGUUAGUUUUUUUUUUUUGUUUUUUUUUUUGUUUGUAAAGGGCCUCUUAUAAAGUCCAAGUUUGGAAGAGUCCUUGGUGCUCUUUCCAUUCAUGGCAACCUUUCUUGAUUGCUUUAAUUUUAGCAUAGCUAGACAUAGGAGUAGACUUUACUAUUGAAUUACUUCUGUGUUUCACGUUAGGUGUGACCUUUGUCACAAGUAGAGUCCGAACGUUUAGGGGUCCUUAGAGUCCGUUAUCUUUGUCUUUAAGUUGUUUGUUUCUUUUGAGUUUUGUACUUUGAUUUUAAAAGUAAUUUUAAUUUAAAGGAUAUUUAGUAAGUAGCAUAAAACAAAUCUGGCAAGGCAAAGACUUGGUACUUAAGCAACCCUAGUGGUUCACCUCUCUUACCUGAGAUUUGUCUAGUGUGAAAUCAUUAAAUCCUUUAGAUUAGAAGAACUUUCAAGAACAAAGAUGUCUUGUUAUUCAUAUAGUUCCUCUAAUUCAUUUCGUUCAUCUAGGAACUUUAAUUUUGAUAAGCCCAUUAGUUUUAAAGAAAUUAAAAGAGAACAUGAUA